AAUUUACCCUAACGCUAGAAAUAUAUAAUUUCCUCUCAUUUCUUCCUCCCAGCAGCCGCUCGAAGACUCCCGCCGAAUUUUAUGCAAACAGAUUUGCUCACUAUGGGAGAAUCUAGCCGAUCGGAUCCAAUUGGAACACGUCUCAAAUGGUUGAAGAUUCCCAAAUUGGAGAAAGGGUUGGUCGCAGGCCGAAGACAGAUCGGACUCGACGCAGCUGGUCUACUCGUGAGGAAGAGGCCUUGAUGUUAGCCCUAAAAGACCUUGUUGUAAACAAGUGGAAAUCAGAUAACGGCUUUCGUGGUGGGUAUCUAGCUCGGAUUGAGGAAAUCAUCAAGCGUGAAUGCCCGAAAAGCGAAAUUAAGGCAACCCCCCAUAUCAGCUCCAAGCUCCAGCAAUGAAAAAAAAACUACUCCUCUCUGGUUAACAUGCUCAAUUGAAGCGGUGUUGGCUUCAAUUACAAGGGCGAUCACAAGAUUGAUUGUGAUAACGACCAAUGGGAACAAAUUGUUAGCUAGAUAACAAUGCACGCUACAUGCGUUUCAAGUCGUGGCCUCUGUUUGAUGAAUGGAAAGAAAUUUUUGGCAAGGAUCGUGCAACGGGAUCUUCUAGUCGGGAUUUGCAGGAACUUUACCAUGGUGUGCGCUCACAUCUCAAUGUGGGUAAUGGGAGUCAAGAGGCUGAGUUUGAAGCUAGCGACGCAUGACGCUUAUGCGUCUUUAAAAAAAAUUCGGAAAAAUUAAGAGAUGCAUGUCCCUCAUGCGUCUUUGUAAAAGAUGCAUAAUUGUCAUGCGUUUCAUUAAAAGGAGACGCAUGAGGGUCAUGCGUCUCUCCCAAAGGUGGAAUAAAAAAAAAGUUCAGUACACUCGAGGAAUGAUAACUGCAGCCUAGAACCAAAAAAAGAAAAAACCCUUAAUGACAGUCUGUGUAAUUGACUAACUUCAGGAAGCAGAAAGCCUUUUAGCCAAGUUGCAUCUUGCUGUAAGGAGCUCACCAGAAUAACUGCUCCUUCCUUAUGAAGAUGACACAAUGAGGGUAUGCAGAUGCAAUCAGUUAUUCUGUGUCUAAAUAGAUACUCAAGGUCAUGUCCUCUUAUCUCAUCCUUCUGUUUACAUUGUACAAAAAGCCCAUGGCCCAUGCACUUAUUCUGUGUUUGCUGGUGACAGGAAAUUUUCCAACUAUUUAUGAUUGCUUUUGAGCAAUUGUCUUGUGAGUCAGGCCGCAAUUACUAUAGGGCUUUGCAUAUUGUGGGAACUGUUGCAAAAGUAAGAUCAUCGUUGAUGUUACUGGAUGUAGAUACUGAUGGGCUGGUUGUCGAGAUGUUCCAACUUUUUCUUAACAACAUUGGGUCCAACAACCCUUCCGACGUCUUCAAAUACAUGGAAAUGAUCAUGACUAUGGUGAUAGAAGAAAGUGAUGAUAUAUCAUUUAAUCUCCUAAGGCCCCUUCUAGCUAGUGUCAAAAUGAAAAAUAGGGAUAUUUCGCCUAUUUCAUGGGAAUUGGGGAAAAAAGUCUUAGAAAAUUGUGAAACUAAACUCCAGAGUUAUCUCAGAGAAGCAGCAAAGUAUGAACUCAGUUGGAUGAGAAAGAGUAGCUUUCAGAAAAUUGGAUAUGAGAAGAAACUUCCAGUGAUCCUAUAGGUCGAAGGAAGUCUCACCUGCUGCUGCUGGUGUGGAAAUCCAAACAGAUCGAAUUUCAAAGUCUGCAUGAAAUUUUCUCUCUGCAAACUGAUGAUGGUAAUGUAACUAAGCUGGGCAGUGAAAAUUUAUUGGAAGCAGUAAAAGAGUCGCAUCAGAUUGUACUAUCAGAAGCAGAUAAAGGUGCUUUUCAAAAGAGAAGGAAGAAGAAACCUAGUUCUGCAGUAAGAACCGAGGAGGAUAAACAUACUAUGAAAAUCGGAGAUUGGUAUUCCCAUGAAGGAUCCCGUGGCAAUAAUGAGGAGAAAAAUGACUUAGCUUUGACGUCAGAGCAGGUAAACUCGAGCAUGUUUAGCAAUUCAUCGCGAAAAAAGAUCGAUUCAUUUAGUGAAGACAGUCUUGCAAAAUAUGGUCAGUCAAAGAAGAAAAGGAGCAUGAUUAAUCAGCACAAGGAGGACCUUGAGUUUUCAUUGACAUUAAAAAGGAAAAUCUUGAAAAUGAAGGAGAGAGGACACAAUGCUCCCAAGAAAACAGGUAAAACAGUUAUUGCUGGAUCUGGUAAGGUGAGGGUGGAAAAGGUAAGAGGGGUGAUUGGCGACACAAACAAAGAAGAAAAACAUCAGCUUUCGCCUCUGAAACUGUUUGCGAGGAAAGAAAUUAUUUCCCAUAAAUAUGUAUCGAAAGAUGCUGCCCAAAAGGUUGUUAUGUCUUUCUUAUGUCUGAUGAAAUUUUCUCAUACAUGUAUUUUAAAAUAAUUUGUGCAGGUGGGGGAAUUUCCUAUGUCUAAACCUUCAAAAGCCAAUUUAGAAAAAGGAUAAGAUAUCCGUUCAGAAGAAGUCGAGAAGGCCCAGAGUCGAUUUCGGGGAACAUUUAGUCAAUUUAUGGAUACAAGUCUGGUGGCCAAUGGAUGAAAUGUUUUGUAUGACGACGAUGAAAUAGAGUUCUUGAAUCUGAGAAAAGAAAAUUGGAAACUGUGUGGUGACGAAAAGUCUCUGCAAAUGUAUUGAUUUGACAAAUCCUUGCGGAAAGAAGUAGCUGAUCGUUCAUCUCCUUCCAAAGAGCUUAGCAAUCCACACGACUGGCAUUCUCCACUCGAGGACAGUCGUAAACCAACUUUCCAUCGUUUGGUAUUUAUGGAAACAAUGAACCUGAUCCGUUUUAUGAACUCGAUCAGGACUAAAGAACACACAAAAAGAAAAGGGAGCCCAUUGAAGAAACAGCUAAAUCAGGCUGUCUCAUCAUCUAAAAGUGUUAAAGUGUGACAAAUUCGACUGAUCAUCAACUAAGCUCAAAACUUUCAGGUCAGAUCAGCAAUCCCUAAUAAUGCUGACAUUUAUCCGGUCAGAUCAGAAGUGAAAACCUUGCCCUCGGUAUAUCUGAAUACACUUCUUCGCCUGGUUUUCAUCAAGUCGUUACUGAAUUUGACGAAGUGACUUGUGAAACGAAUGUCUCAGCAAAAGAUAGUGGGGUGAAUCGUGUGAGCAAGGAAGAGUUUUGCCACACCUCCAAGAAGUUGAAAGAAAUGGUUAGUAUAUUAUUAAUGCAUGGAUGCUGGUUUCUAAUCUUGAUGCAUACCGUGUUGAAGGAUUGCCGAGAAUUUAACUGCUAGGACGAAACCAAUUCACCGAGCAUGUGACAAGCCGGAAAGAAGCUGUAAUCGGCUCCUUGUGUUUCACAAGGAUUACCCUUGACUACAUAUAUGGAUAGGACACUUAUUGAAAGCUGCCUUUUUGAUCUCUACAAUAGCACUUUGAAAUCUCAGUCAUGCAGAUAAGAUUUUGUCACUUAUAGUUUCCUAAUGUACGAUCAAAACUAACUGAUUUAGGAACCAAAAUCGCCAAAUUAUUUGAGCAAAACGAAUACAAUUAUUAUCCAA